rnacentral:lncRNA from 1 species
AUGCUGUCCCCUGACGGGCCACUUUUCGAGCUCAGUCCAUCGAGCCACUGCCAAACUGUCCUCCUUGUCCUCGGACAGACUUCAUGCAUCAUGGUGAUAAAUUGGGCAAUGCAUAGGGCCAGUUCCCUCCUACUGAGUUCUAUCAGAAAAGAAGAAGGGGUUAAUACAAAUGCCGUUGUCAUGAUUGUAAAUACAACUUGGAGAAGGAAGCAGAGAAGUCACUAGUUCCUUCUGAAUCCAGUCUGGUGAUGCAGAGAGAAAAGUGUGUGGCCAAGAAGAAAAACACCGUGUAUAUCAAAACAUAAAUGAAAAAAAAUCUCGAGAAUGGGAAAUGCUGAAGAUAAAGAGAAAGAACCCAAGAGAAUAAAAGCAAAGAUAAUAAACAGCCACAGCCAGACUCAGAUGUUCUCUGUCCCAUUAGAGAUGACUUUACCAACAUGUAUUACCUCACUGUAAAGGUAUGUAAAUAGGUGUGAUUCAGGAUGUGUCCAAAUGAAGCCUAUUGUUUUAUCUAUAUUAAAAUAUAGAAGUGAAUAGCUGUAUAGUGGUACCUGAAUUAGUAAUUGCAAGGGACUAAUUCCAACAUAUCUUAGGGGUUUAGCCAUGUAAAUCACACUGACCUUCAGUAGUGCCUAUGCACCUACAUCAGGAGCUCUAGAAAAUCUGUGUGCAUGUACUGGCUCCAGGGAAAAGUCCAGUGCUAUUAUUAUAAUGUGACUAUGACUUUGAGAACCUGUAAUGUACUCAGUUUUAUACAAAUUUACACAGUAGUAUUUGUCAGGGUUGUUGUCACUGAAGUGGAAAGCUCAAAUUGGUGUGAAUUACUGAGACUUAAUAUUGUACUUUGAAUUAUGACUUUUUAUAUUUACAUGAGAGUGUCCUUUGAGUUGCAUCUGGUUUUUGUGCUGUUUACAAACUGCUCUAAAAAGCUGAGCUGAGAAUAUUCGCAGUUAGUUCAGCAUGUGAAACAGAGAAAUAGAAUUUAGCUCUAUUCUUAAACCAUGAUUAUUUAUGUAGCAGCCGUGUUGGCCAACAAAAAGAGAGAAAGCUGAUGGGCAUGAAAAUAACCAGUCUGCUCAUACAUGAGAUUUGCUUGCAGUGGUCCCAGCAGGAGCUUGAAGAGGACUGUGUAUAUUGUGAAACACAAGGAUGUAUAGUUAAUGCAUGCCAGAAAUGACCAUUUGUGGGGCUACUUAAUGCUAGAAAUCCCACAUGGUGAUGAGAUAAUGUGAUCCUGGAGUGCAUUGUAUAGGAUUCUGUCCGGAUAGUUCUUGAAUAUAUCCAGUGAGGGAGACUCCACAACCCCUCCAGGAAACCUGUUCUAGUGCAUGGUCACUUGGACAACAGAGUUCUUCCUCAUGUUGAGAUGGAACCUCCUGUGCAUCUGUUUCUGCCCAUUGCCUCUUGUCUUAUUGCUCAGCACCACUUAGCAGAGCCUGGCUUCAUCCUUUUGGCAUCCUCCCU